UACGUAGGGUGCGAGCGUUAAUCGGAAUUACUGGGCGUAAAGCGUGCGCAGGCGGCGCGUUAAGACAGGUGUGAAAGCCCCGAGCUUAACUUGGGAAUUGCGCUUGUGACUGGCGUGCUGGAGUGUGGCAGAGGGAGGUGGAAUUCCCGGUGUAGCGGUGAAAUGCGUAGAUAUCGGGAGGAACAUCAGUGGCGAAGGCGGCUAUCUGGUCUAACACUGACACUGAGACACGAAAGCGUGGGGAGCAAACAGG
rnacentral:rRNA from 1 species